UACGUAGGGAGCAAGCGUUGUCCGGAAUCAUUGGGCGUAAAGAGCUUGUAGGCGGUUUGUCGCGUCUGCCGUGAAAAUUCGAGGCUCAACCUCGAACUUGCGGUGGGUACGGGCAGACUAGAGUGUGGUAGGGGAGACUGGAAUUCCUGGUGUAGCGGUGAAAUGCGCGGAUAUCAGGAGGAACACCGAUGGCGAAGGCAGGUCUCUGGGCCACUACUGACGCUGAGAAGCGAAAGCAUGGGGAGCGAACAGG
rnacentral:rRNA from 1 species